CAAGUCGGACGGGAUUUUCUUUGGUAGCAAUACCGGAGAAAAUUCAGUGGCGAACGGGUGCGUAACACGUGGGCAAUCUGUCUUAAAGUGGGGGAUAGCUCGGCGAAAGCCGAAUUAAUACCGCAUGUGGUCAGAGGCGACAUCGCUUCGAAAUCAAAGGUGGCGCAAGCUACCGCUUUUUGAGGAGCCCGCGGCCUAUCAGCUUGUUGGUGAGGUAACGGCUCACCAAGGCGUUGACGGGUAGCUGGUCUGAGAGGACGACCAGUCACACUGGGACUGAGACACGGCCCAGACACCUACGGGUGGCAGCAGUCGAGAAUUUUUCUCAAUGGGGGAAACCCUGAAGGAGCGACGCCGCGUGGAGGAUGAAGGUCUUCGGGUUGUAAACUCCUGUCAUUUGGGAACAAGUCGUACGUAUUAACUGUACGUGCGUUGAUAGUACCAGAAGAGGAAGAGACGGCUAACUCUGUGCCAGCAGCCGCGGUAAUACAGAGGUCUCAAGCGUUGUUCGGAUUCAUUGGGCGUAAAGGGUGCGUAGGCGGCGCGGUAAGUCGGGUGUGAAAUCUCGGAGCUUAACUCCGAAACUGCAUUCGAUACUGCCGUGCUUGAGGACUGGAGAGGAGACUGGAAUUUACGGUGUAGCGGUGAAAUGCGUAGAUAUCGUAAGGAAGACCAGUGGCGAAGGCGGGUCUCUGGACAGUUCCUGACGCUGAGGCACGAAGGCCAGGGGAGCAAACGGGAUUAGAUACCCCGGUAGUCCUGGCAGUAAACGGUGCACGUUUGGUGUGGGAGGAUUCGACCCCUUCUGCGCCGGAGCUAACGCGUUAAACGUGCCGCCCGGGGAGUACGGUCGCAAGAUUAAAACUCAAAGAAAUUGAC
rnacentral:rRNA from 1 species